rnacentral:lncRNA from 1 species
CGAGCACGACAAUCAUAAGCAUAGUGUGCAAAACUGAAGUAGUUUUCUCCUUAGUCCUGACCAUGGCAGUCAUCAAGAGCAAUCGUACGGAUGCCAUGGGUUGUUCAAUCUGCGUUCUUAUUAUGAUCAUGUCUUCCACUUUGAUCUUACCAACCUCUUGCUAUGAACGUACGUAUCUCCGAACAUCCUUUAAUCUUUUUUUCUUACUUAAUGCAUUAAUUUUACUAAAUAGACCUUACAAGACAUUUGUAAUAAGUAUGCAUUGCCUCAAUGUUUAGUUGAUCGUCACGAGAAGUGCAUGCCUACUCAAGUCUGCCAUUGGAAUGUCUGCAAGAUCAUGUGCAGAUACACCGGCAAUCCUUGGAUUGGGGCCUACUGCAAGAUGAAACCAGGCGAUGUGAAACUGUGUUGUUGUGUUUAUUCCUGAAUCUCUAGCGAUGCUAGUUGUUGUUUGGGGCAUUAAUAUUGCCGUUUCCUAUAUCCACCCGCUUGGGAUGCAUUCUCAAUAAAAUAGUUUUUUAGCGACUCAAUCAAAAUUUCAUUAUUAUGAACAACGUUAUUUGUG